UAUUUAUAUAAUUUAAAUAAAAUAUUACAGUUUCAUUGUAAAAAUAGAAAAAUUAUCUUAUAAAU
rnacentral:tRNA from 1 species